GCUAUUGUGGCAGAGUGUAUGCCCUAAGUUUAAGCCUUAAAAACAAGAAUGACUGUUCUUCCCUAGCA
rnacentral:tRNA from 1 species